ACAGGAUGUAGUGUCGUCAUUACAGACUUCUCCCGCCUAUAUUCCAGCUCCUGGAUACACGAUGACAGGGGGAGUGAGUAGUCUCUUUCAGUUACUUUAACAGUGAUUCUCCAUUUUGUUACACGUGGCAUAUAGCUGUUAACUGGCACAAAGGAAGUGGGGGAGGAGUUAGUAAAGGAAGCUGUUAACACAGGAAUUUUGGUUACA